rfam:TPA: Bos taurus chromosome 19, whole genome shotgun sequence.
UCUCUGAUGGUCCAGUGGCUAAGACUCUUCACUCCCAAUGUAGGGGGCCCAGGUUCAAUCCCUGGUCAGGAAA